rnacentral:rRNA from 1 species
CCUACGGGGGGCAGCAGUGGGGAAUUUUGGACAAUGGGGGCAACCCUGAUCCAGCCAUGCCGCGUGCGGGAAGAAGGCCUUCGGGUUGUAAACCGCUUUUGUCAGGAGAGAAAUCUCUUGGGCUAAUACCCUGAGAGGAUGACGGUACCUGAAGACUAAGCACCGGCUCACUACGUGCCAGCAGCCGCGGUAAUACGUAUGGUGCAUGCGUUAAUCGGAGUUAGUGCGGGUGGUUCUUGAAGACAGGUGUGAAAUCCCCGGGCUUAACCUGGGAACUGCACUUGUGACUGAACGGCUAGAGUACGGCAGAGGGGGAUGGAAUUCCGCGUGUAGCAGUGAAAUGCGUAGAUAUGCGGAGGAACACCGAUGGCGAAGGCAGUCCCCUGGGCCUGUACUGACGCUCAUGCACGAAAGCGUGGGGAGCAAACAGGAUUAGAUACCCGAGUAGUC